UACAGAGGGUGCGAACGUUGCUCGGAUUUACUGGGCGUAAAGCGCGUGUAGGCGGACUCGCAAGUCGGUUGUGAAAUCCCUGGGCUCAACCUAGGAACUGCAUCCGAAACUGCUUGUCUUGAGUAAUGGAGAGGGUGGCGGAAUUCCCGGUGUAGAGGUGAAAUUCGUAGAUAUCGGGAGGAACAUCAGUGGCGAAGGCGGCCACCUGGACAUUUACUGACGCUGAGACGGCGAAAAGCGUGGGGAGCAAACACGGAUUAAGAUACCCCCGUA
rnacentral:rRNA from 1 species